rnacentral:rRNA from 1 species
GAUUAACGCUGGCGGCAUGCCUAAUACAUGCAAAUCGAACGGAGUUAUUCUUCGGAAUAACUUAGUGGUGAACGGGUGAGUAACACGUAUCCAAUCUACCUUUAGGCUGGGGACAACUAAUCGAAAGAUUAGCUAAUACCGAAUAAGCUCUUAGUCUCGCAUGAGAUUAAGAGGAAAGGUCCUCCAAAGGACCACCUUUAGAUGAGGGUGCGGCAUAUCAGAUUGUUGGUGAGGUAACGGCUCACCAAGUCGAUGACGUGUAGUUGUACUGAGAGGUAAAACAACCACAAUGGGACUGAGACACGGCCCAUACUCCUACGGGAGGCAGCAGUAGGGAAUUUUUCACAAUGGGCGAAAGCCUGAUGGAGCAAUGCCGCGUGAACGAUGAAGGUCCUCUGGAUCGUAAAGUUCUUUUAUAUGGGAAGAAUAAUAAGGAAAGGAAAUGUUCUUUAUUUGACUGUACCAUUUUGAAUAAGUAUCGGCUAACUAUGUGCCAGCAGCCGCGGUAAUACAUAGGAUGCAAGCGUUAUCCGGAUUUACUGGGCGUAAAACAAGCGCAGGCGGGUUUACAAGUUUGGUAUGAAAGACAUUUGCUUAACGAGUGUUUGUAUCAAAAACUGUAAAUCUAGAGUAUGCUAGGGAGUUCUGGAAUUCCAUGUGGAGCGGUGGAAUGCGUAGAUAUAUGGAAGAACACCAGUGGCGAAGCGAGAACUUAGAGCAUUACUGACGCUUGCUUGAAAGUGUGGGGAGCAAAUAGG